UAGGGAAUCUUCGGCAAUGGGGGCAACCCUGACCGAGCAACGCCGCGUGAGUGAAGAAGGUUUUCGGAUCGUAAAGCUCUGUUGUAAGAGAAGAACGUGUGUGAGAGUGGAAAGUUCACACAGUGACGGUAACUUACCAGAAAGGGACGGCUAACUACGUGCCAGCAGCCGCGGUAAUACGUAGGUCCCGAGCGUUGUCCGGAUUUAUUGGGCGUAAAGCGAGCGCAGGCGGUUUAAUAAGUCUGAAGUUAAAGGCAGUGGCUUAACCAUUGGUAGCUUUGGAAACUGUUAAACUUGAGUGCAGAAGGGGAGAGUGGAAUUCCAUGUGUAGCGGUGAAAUGCGUAGAUAUAUGGAGGAACACCGGUGGCGAAAGCGGCUCUCUGGUCUGUAACUGACGCUGAGGCUCGAAAGCGUGGGGAGCAAACAGG
rnacentral:rRNA from 1 species